rnacentral:lncRNA from 1 species
CAAUGUCCAAGGAUACAAUUGGCGGAGCUUCUUUUGUUUUAAAAAACAUGAUAAACAAGUAAAGAAUGUGCGCAAGCAGGAAGAAACUGACCAAAAGUAAAGAUCGAAAAUUUUCUUGUUCAAGAAGCUUGUUGAUAGUUUUUAAUAUUCUCUGUGAAAAAAAUGAUGCAAAGAAGAGUCCAGAACCUCAAUUUAUUUUCUUGUCAAAUAGACAAAGGUGACAGUGAACUGGGGCUUUGUACUUGUAUCUUCUUUGAUCCAGCAGAUGAGGAUGGAAAGGAACCAGGGGUUUUUAUAACUGAAAUUAUUGAAGGAGGUGCAGUUCACAAACUUGGAUGUAUCCGUGUAUUUGACCAGAUUAUUAAAAUAGGUGACAUCAAUCUAAUUGGAUUGGAUGAAGCAGAAAUCGUCUCUACUUUUAAAAAAAUGGACGAUUCUCCUUUCCAGAUUGAAAUUGGCCGCGAACCACCUGAAGUGAAGUCAGAACUUAUCGAACUCCUUGAGUUGUCAGAGCAAAGGAAGAAAUAUUUUAUGGAUUCGCUCAUAGUACAGGAAAAAAUUGGAGAUAUCACUAUUGUGAGAGGACAAGCAAGUAUUUGUAGAAGUCCAAGAGUACCAUGGUUCUGGAUGGCCAGUGACCUGAAAUUUGUUAUUGGGGUACUGAAAAUAUUAAUAGAAGAAGAUCAGGGAUGUAGAAAAGACUUCCAAGCUAUCUUUGAGCAGGCUAACAUUUUUCAAGACAAUUAUAAAGACAUGAACACAUACAAUGUGAAUAUGGAACAGAAACCUGAUGAAUCAGAUAAAGAAGGCACAUUUUUACCAUUGGCCCCAGAAGAAGAAUUUUUACUAGGACAAUUUAAAAUAAAGCCUAAAGAGAUAAAAAAUAAAGAUUUAUCACCAGAGCAAUUAUUAGCCCAAGGGGAAUUCAAUUCAGGUGAGAAAAAUGAGGCUCAGAGAAGAUAUUCAGAUAGUUACCUUCCCAGCUGUAACUUCAUGGCUUCUGGCUCUAAAAUGAAGAACAUAGGUAAGUUCUUCACUUUAUAA